rnacentral:tRNA from 1 species
GGGCGCUUAGCUCAGCGGUAGAGCGGCUCGUUUACACCGAGUAGGUCGGGGGUUCAAAACCCUCAGCGCCCACAA